rnacentral:rRNA from 1 species
ACUCAAAUGAAUUGACGGGGGCCCGCACAAGCGGUGGAGCAUGUUGUUUAAUACGUCACUAACCGUAGAACCUUACCAGGGCUUGACAUCUGCUGACAGUCCGUGAAAGCGGAUCUUCCCCGCAAGGGGACAGCAAGACAGGUGUUGCAUGGCUGUCGUCAGCUCGUGUCGUGAGAUGUUGGGUUAAGUCCCGCAACGAGCGCAACCCUCACCCCAUGUUGCCAGCGGAUAAAGCCGGGAACUCUUGGGGAACUGCCCGGGUAACCGGGAGGAAGGUGGGGAUGACGUCAAGUCAGCAUGGCCCUUACGCCCUGGGCUACAAACAUGCUACAAUGGACGGCGUACAAAGGGAUCCGAAGCCGCGAGGUGGAGGCAAUCUCAAAAAUCCGUCCCCAGUUCAGAUCGCAGGCUGCAACUCGCCUGCGUGAAGUCGGAAUCGCUAGUAACCGCAGAUCAGAUAAGCUGCGGUGAAUACGUUCCCGGGCCUUGUACACACCGCCCGU